GAGGAGCUAUUUGGUUUCUCAGUUAAGUUUGAUUUGGUAGGUUACGUGUGAUUUUUGCUAGAUUUUGAGCUGAUUCGUGUCGAUUUGUUAAUUUCUUUUGCAGGAAGUAGUAUCAAUGGGUAGUGAAAGUGAUUCGAUAUAAGAGAAAGCUGCUGCUCGUAAAGAGGCACUUAGAGCUCUGAGAGCAGCUCAGGUACUUUUUGAGAGCAAGGAAGAGGGAGAUGGUGAUGCUGCUGUUGAAGAAGAGUGAGUAUGCUUUGUUAUUUGGCAUGAAUCAUUGAAAAAAGCAAACUUGUCAAAGAUAUUUAGGGAAGGAACGAUUUGAUUAGAAUGUGGUUGUUGAUGAUAUGCUUCUUGUUGUGUGUUGGUUAAAGCAAAAGAAGUAGCUCCCAAGAUAAAGAGCUUCAGGAUGGUAAAGUUGCACCACCGGGAGGGUCCUUGUUGUCUUAUAUACACUCUGCUCCACCUCUUAAGGUAAGCUCUAUAUAUACAUUCCAGCGCUGUUUUGGAGUUUAGCACUUAUCAAUACAUCUAUUUGCAGCUAAAACAAAAUGGAUGGGUUGGAAAC
rnacentral:lncRNA from 1 species